UACCAGCUCUCCGAGUGGUAGGGAUGAUUAUUGGGCUUAAAGCGUCCGUAGCCGGCUUAGCAAGUCUCCUGUUAAAUUCAGCGACCUAAUCGUUGAGCCGCGGGAGAUACUACUAGGCUAGGAGGCGGGAGAGGUCAACGGUACUUCCGGGGUAGGGGUGAAAUCCUAUAAUCCCGGGAGGACCACCAGUGGCGAAGGCUGUUGACUAGAACGCGCUCGACGGUGAGGGACGAAAGCUGGGGGAGCGAACCGGAUUAGAUACCCGGGUAGUCCCAGCUGUAAACGAUGCGAGCUAGGUGUUGGGGUGGCUACGUGCCACUUCAGUGCCGCAGGGAAGCCAUUAAGCUCGCCGCCUGGGGAGUACGGCCGCAAGGCUGAAACUUAAAGGAAUUGGGCGGGGGAGCGACCACAAGGCGUGAAGCUUGCGGUUC
rnacentral:rRNA from 1 species